GAAAUGCGAUAAGUAAUGCGAAUUGCAGAAUUCAGUGAGUCAUCGAAUCUUUGAACGCAUAUUGCGCCCUUUGGUAUUCCGAAGGGCAUGCCUGUUCGAGCGUCAUUAAUCCAAUCAAGCCUAUGGCUUGUCGUUGGACUUGCGGCUGAAAGAUGCGGCAGGUCCGAAAGAUAAUGACGGAGUCGUGUUUGACCCUAAUGCAACGAGCUUUCUACAGCACGCAUUAAAGUGGUCGGCCGACCCGGUCUCAAACCAUCAUUUUCUCAAGGUUGACCUCGGAUCAGGUAGGAAUACCCGCUGAACUUAA
rnacentral:misc_RNA from 1 species